rnacentral:lncRNA from 1 species
AGAGCCGCUGCCUUUCAUAACAUUUCACCCUGCCCACUACCCCCCGCAAGCCGGACUCAAGCGUGGAGCCGACCUGUAAACCGUCCAAGAAACCCCUUCCUCUCCCCGGAGAAAGUGGAGUCUGAGCACCGCCCCCCCCCCCCCCCCCGGGCUCCGCACUGCACCUUGCCCAGCAACGACCCAACUUGGCCUCCGGGUCGCCCAAGUACAUCCAUCGGCAUCUGAACCUCCCCACUGCGCCCGAAAGCUACCGGCUAACUAAUAGGCUAGCCGCCUGGAUCCUCUCAUCCAUCCACCUGCAACCGGCAGCCGGGGCUUGGGGGACUCAGGGAUAGGUGCACCGAUCUGCAAGCCCCCUCGCGGCCCUCCCCAAAUCCUCACCCCCAAACUUAGCCAACUCUCGAUGCCAACCUCCCGGCUACUGCCGCAGGACCGAACCUCUCUUCCCUCCUGGCGGCGGCAGCGGCGGCGGCUCGGAGCCGUGCCGAGGCAGGAACUUUACAAGCAUCUUCCUAAGGCAUUGAAAACUUCAUUAUCAUACAAAUAUGUCUCUGGCAUGGCAUUUUCCCCUGGACCACAGAAUGCAGCUAACUGUGUAGCAGAAAUUUUAAUGAAUCGGUGUCUUUCCCACCUGAGUGCUUCUGUGGAAUGCGAGGACAAGUUGGCUCCCGAAACCAGGCAUCUUGGGUAGGAGUCAGCUGAUGGUUCUUUGGCCAGUGGGAUGUUGAAGGAGAUCUGGCAACGAGACAGGACAUCUUCCACCUUCUGCCUGGGAACACUGCCAGCUGCCACUCUGCACCAGCUCCCACGACUUCAUGCAGACUGCCUCAGGCCAGAGACAAGACACUCCACCUGGUGUCCAUGUGGGUGCAGCCCCGACGUACAGGAGAAUGAACACUCUGUUGUGAAUCUUUGUCCAACGGGAGAUGGGUACCUGUGGAUAAAGUCUCUUCUUUCCCAUCUUCCUAUGGAUGAUCUUGAGGGUCUGGUUAUACAGCUUCCUGGACAGUACUGUGGGGAUCAGCCCGAUAAUGCAUUUGUGUGGGCUCUCCUUCCUUC